rnacentral:lncRNA from 1 species
AUUUAUUUAUGCAUAUAUUCUAUGAUUUUAGCCUCUUUAUAUGGGUUGCAGUUACUUAUUUAUAGUGCAAUUUUAUCUGAUUGGUACAUACACCUUCUUUAAAUUGGAUUCUCUGGAUUUCAAUUUUGUAAAUUGCAUAUGUCCCUCAUCACCCGUGUCUUUAUUGUCACCUUACUCUUGAUAAGAUAUAUAGAGCAUCUAUUUCAGCUGUGCAAUGGCUUUUCAUUAAAUAUCAACAUAUUUGCGCUUUCUUUAGCCCAAAGGAUGUUUUAACUGAUGGAAAAUGUGUCUGCUCUUCAUACUCCUCUAUAAUUAUACUAAGGUAUUCUGUUUGGCACCUUACUUGUCUCCCAUCCGAUGUACCAUAUGACUCCGAUACUGAUGGGAGCUGGCAUCUCUUUGCUCCAAUUCAAAAGGAGUGACAGGUAUUGUUUGCCAUAUUUUGCAAAGAGAACAUAUCUCGCAUGGUUUUUAUUGUAUAUAGGGAUCCUGUUGCUAUUAUUUAAUCUCAAA